rfam:Oryza brachyantha chromosome 8, whole genome shotgun sequence.
AAUAAACCAAUUUUUCACAUUUUACCUUCAAUUUUUGACUCUUCGUCUUAUUAAAAAAAUUUUGCGAUUGAUAUUUUUGUUUUUAUUAGAUGAUAAAUCAUGAAUAGUAUUUUUUGUUAGAUGACUAAAAUAAGAUGGAUGGUCAAACGUUGGACACGGAAACCAGAGAAUUCGUUUUUU